UAUUGAAUUGUGACCAUUCUUUGGCCAUGAGAUAACCUUGCUUCAGUAGUGCUGAGUGCCCACAAGGAACAUCUCCAACGUAAUUUGAUGGAAGUGAAAGAAAAAAAGAAAUCCAGCCUGGCACUUGUUGUGGAGAAGGGCUGCCAUGCUGUGAUGAUCCCUGGCCAGUUCCAUUCCCCUGGAUGAGUCCCACCAGGCUGUUCCCCGUGCUUGCUAAGCUGCAGAAGUGGGAGAUGCACUGAGUUAGGACCCCGUCAUCCUCUCACCGGACCUACGCUGAACAGAGCUGGGCCCAUCCCGCAUGCUUCCCGUUAGCAGCUCGAAGGAUUUAGAGCUGGAGGUGGACUAAUAGCAACAUUUUAAUGAGAAGAAAGAUGUAGAAGGACAUCUUAAUUUCACACGAAGGAAUAGGCUCCUGCCUGGAAGUUUAAGGUCACAGAGAGAGGCUGAAGCAGAGGAGGGGAAAAAAAUGCACCUGUUUGAAUUGCCAGCCUGCAGACCCAGGUUCCCUCUGCAAUCACUGCCACGACCAUCCUUUUUCCUUUGUUUAAAUUCGUGGCCUGGUUACAAGUCAAUUUGGCUUGAUGUCCUGUUGAUUUGACUCCUUCUGUGAUCCAAGUCAGCAUCCCCGUUAUUCACAUGGACCUGGUUGAUGACAAGAAACUAAAUUAAUCUGGAAUCAAGUAACGGUGCAAAGAGUUGAAUGUUUUGUUUUUAGAGCAGGUGAUCUAUCAUCGAAUCUAGUUCUUGUUUUCUCUGUUUCUCGCUGGUCCAACUGUGUCAUGCUCAUGUUCUUGACACACUUAUGCUGUCCGAUGCUCUGUUUCUUUGCUUGAGUUAUCAUUCAUGCCUGAGGGUGCAUAGUUCUGUAAAAGAUGUAUUUUUUGACUCAGUGGUGUGGAAUGUAUAAUCUGCAUUGCUCUCUGUAAAUAAGUGUUUAGUGAUAUAAGGGAAGAACCUAAAUUCUUGGAAAAAAUUAUGUGUUACGGUCAUUCCCAAAGGAGUCACACUUAUUUAAUACCAACAGCAAAUUCAGUCUUUUUUUCAUGACUGCUUUUGAGUCGGAGCAAACAAAUCCCAAAAUAUUUACUAAUUGAGCAAAUCCAGAUGAACUGCAUAAUCUAUCUGUGGGUUUUGCCUGGUCUGGAUUUAUGUUCUUGGUGAUCAACCAAGUCACCAGGUUCCAGGACAGGUUUUGGUGAUGCUGUAGACACUGUUUGUCAUCUACAAUUUGUAGAUACUGAAAUCAGUGCCACUGUCAGAUUGGCCAUGAAGCCAAAGGUGUAUCUAGAUACAUUUCCUUAAAUAUUACUCCAUGUUUGUAAUAAUUAAAUUAUCCUUUAGCAUGAAAUCACCGCUAAGGCUUUUUUUUUUUUCUCUGAAAUUGGUAUCACCUGGUGUCACUAAUUGACAUUUUAACAAAGACAGCAUGGAUGGGUGCAACUCCACUCCAAAGCUGUAAGUGCCAGCACGCCCUGCUUAUCCUGGCUAAUGGAAUCAAGAGCAAGUUUUGGCACAGCAAUAACUGUUUAAGCCUCACCAGUUUGUCUGUAGCUCCACUUCAGUGCAUGGGGCUUUAGUAAAUCAGAUUAAAUUGUCAAUGGCUUACAGAUUCCUCCCUUUUCUUUGCAGCAAUAUCCUGGAAAUGUUCUAUUUAUUUUAAGAAAUUCUGAAGCUCCUGAUAGAGCAGCUGACAAAGCUGCUAUUGCAAAUAAGACAAACACCCUACUCUGAAUAUGUCCAGUUCUCUUCCACCCCUGUUCCUUCCUGUUGGAUGACACCUACAGUCAUUUGCAAACAUGAGUAACAUAUCCUGCAUACGUUUACUCUUCCUUACAAGCAUUUGCAGUUAGAGGUUGAGUUACUUCAGCUCACAGUGUUAUUGUUCUGUCUGCAUGGAAGCGCUGCAGUGUGAACCAGAAUCUGGGCCUUGAAGUAGAAACAAUAUAUAUAUAAAGGAAAUGCUGAGAAGAGUAAUAAAGAGCAAUCUUCCUCUGAGUAAAUAAAAAUUACAAACAGAAACAAUAAUCAAUAUAUUUUACAGUUCAAGAGUUCAGCACAUGCUGUUGCAGUACAGUACAAUGGAUAGGCGGCAUCCAUGGAUUAUGAAUUCCCACGUUUAUGUGGGAACAGAAGUAAAUAACUGAAACAAGAGUCAUGUUGCAAGAAUGUAAAACCAAGCUGGACUUAAUGGUGUGCUAUAUUUAAAAGAGUGAUGUGGUCCAAGGAGUGUUCACUUUAUCUUUUCCUUCAAGCCUGGCUGCCUGCAACCUGCCAGGACGAACUAAUUCAAAAGAAACCAUUUUUCUCUAUUUCAAUCACCAGUGAAAUGCAGUAUGCAUUGCACUUUGUUGCCCUGAAUCGUGGAGACUGACAUUACUGAACAGCAAAGCCAGGAAGGGCAUGGCGUUAUGGACGUCAAUAUGCAAUGGUCCUCUUCCAGUUGGACGGACAUUGCUUGGAUCAGGUAUAGUGGAACAGUUGAGGACUACAGCGAUGCUGUGUACUCUUCCAGUCUUUUUUUUUAAGUGGGAGCAGAUGGCUGAAAGCUUCAUACUGUGAUAUAAAAUCUUUUAGCUUUGUGAGUCAGUUGCGGAAGUACUGUCAGAAACUUGUACUUAGAUCAUCUAUCCAAAGGAGAUUUUGUGUAAGCUUCUGCACCUCUCCUCUCCCAACUUGCUCUCACCCUUUCCCUUCUUUCCCUGCGGUCUUCCAUGAGGUACUGAUCUCCAGUGCUGGUUCUUUCGUUGCUCCCUUCCUAUGACGAACAGAGGAAUCAGUGAAUCUUCCAAGUGAGAAGAAACUUCCCAAGGGCUUCAAGUGAUCUGAUGGCCUUGUUCCAAACUGGGGUGUCUCAUGCAUAAUGUGGAUUCUGAUUUGAUGAUGGCCCAUUUUCCAGUGCAUACAGUAUCAGCCAUUAGCCUGCAAGCAAUGAUGCUGCAUUCAUAUUUAGGGUAAUUUUCACACUAAUAUGGCAUAUAGAAGCCAGAUCCCUCACCAGACCGAAAGUGGUUUAAUGGCCGAGCUUAUGCAAGGGGAAGGGCUCUGACGUUGAUCAGCAGAUUCUGUGGUCAAAGUGACAUAGAUUUGUAUUUUAUAAUUUUAAUGGGAAAAUAACAAAGCUCCUUUGUCUGUUGAAGUGGGUGAAAGUUAUGUGACAUUUAAAACAACAAAAAAAGUGCAUCGUGUUUUGUGCGUAACAUUUACAGCUGUGCACCAAGAAUUUCUGCUCCGUAGUUGCACGACGUUCUUUGUUCUUUCAUUUUAUAUUCCUAGGAAGAAAUCAAUAAAUAUAUUAAUGAAAAUGAUAAAAGGUA